UACGAAGGGGGCUAGCGUUGUUCGGAAUUACUGGGCGUAAAGCGCGCGCAGGCGGCUAUCCAAGUCAGUGGUGAAAGCCCGGAGCUCAACUCCGGAACUGCCAUUGAAACUGUUUAGCUUGAGGACGAGAGAGGUGAGUGGAAUUCCCAGUGUAGAGGUGAAAUUCGUAGAUAUUGGGAAGAACACCGGUGGCGAAGGCGGCGACCUGGUCCGAUACUGACGCUGAGGCGCGAAAGCGUGGGGAGCAAACAGG
rnacentral:rRNA from 1 species